rnacentral:rRNA from 1 species
AGUUGGUGGGUUGCCUUGUCAGGUUGAUUCCGGUAACGAACGAGACCUCAGCCUGCUAAAUAGUCACGUGUGCUCCGGCAGACGGCGGACUUCUUAGAGGGACUAUUGGCGACUAGCCAAUGGAAGCAUGAGGCAAUAACAGGUCU